rnacentral:rRNA from 1 species
ACAUGCCUACAACAUAGAAUUAAUGCAUUAGAUCCGAUUAUAACUCCACAGUUAGGCGUGCUCAGGCUAGAGUAGUACUGGGAUGGGUGACUGCUUGGGAAGUCCUAGCGUUUUACAUGCC